rnacentral:rRNA from 1 species
GACAGAGGGGGCAAGCGUUGCUCGGAAUCACUGGGCGUAAAGGGCGCGUAGGUGGCGCGACAAGUCAGUGGUGAAAGCUCGACGCUCAACGUCGAGUCGGCCACUGAGACUGUUGGGCUGGAGCACUGUAGAGGCUCAUGGAAUUCCGGGUGUAGCGGUGGAAUGCGUAGAGAUCCGGAAGAACACCGGUGGCGAAGGCGGUGAGCUGGGCAGUUGCUGACACUGAGGCGCGACAGCGUGGGGAGCAAACAGG